GACGAACGCUGGCGGCGUGCUUAACACAUGCAAGUCGAACGGAAAGGCCUCUUUCUGGGGGUACUCGCGUGUCGCACGGGGGAGUAACACGUGAGUAACCCGUCCUUUUCUUUGGGGUAUCUCUAGGAAACUGGGGCUCAUAUCGCAUAUGGGCUCCUGUUUUGCGUUGGGGGUUGGAAAGUUUCGGCGGUUGGGGAUGGACUCGCGGCUUAUCAGCUUGUUGGUGGGGUAGUGGCUUACCAAGGCUUUGACGGGUAGCCGGCCUGAGAGGGUGACCGGCCACAUUGGGACUGAGAUACGGCCCAGACUCCUACGGGAGGCAGCAGUGGGGAAUAUUGCACAAUGGGUGGAAGCCUGAUGCAGCAACGCCGUGUGCGGGAUGACGGCCUUCGGGUUGUAAACCGCUUUCGCUCAUGACGAAGCUUUGUGUGACGGUAGUGGGUAAAGAAGCACCGGCUAACUACGUG
rnacentral:rRNA from 1 species